rnacentral:lncRNA from 1 species
AGAUAUUGGAAAAAGAAAUUGACAUAAUUGAAAUGAGAGAGAAUAAUAAAUAUUUAAGGGUAUAAUAAGAAAAAUAAUAUUAAUGAUUCAUUGAUAUUAUAAAACGACUUAUAUUAUGAUACAAAAUAUUUUCUCAAAACGACUUAUAAUAAAAAACGGAGGUAGUACACAUGAUCAGGAAAAGUACUCUGAGCUCCCUUCUCUAGCGAAUCACCUUGUUGUAGCCUUUAACUACUCUGCCGCGCUGGAGCUCAUCGUCGUCGGCGGCGGAUCUCCUAACAUGAAAAACCAUACAUCAAAACCUUCAUUUCACUUAGCUAUCAACGAAUCCCUUAACAGUUUCCUCCAAUCCGUGCCCUAAAUUAUAAAGUCAAGCAAAUCUUCCAAGAACCCUAAUCUACAAAUCUCAAAAUUAAAUCCUCCAAUGGAGGAAUCAAAGUCCCUUGGGUUAGGGUUUAAUUCCUCUAUUCAAGACCUACAUAAUGGUACACAGUUCAAAGGAAAACAGAGAGUAACAGGAACCUACCGAUGAAGGCCGACGUGAGACGAUUUCAAAGUACCACGAAAAAGAUGAAGAUGAUUUUGGUAAGUUCCUUACUAUGAACUUCUUCCUUCCUUUCUUCUUUUUCACAUGACUUCUUCUGUUGAAUCCUCUCUUCUCAAUCCGUGUGUGAUGAUGUGUGUAUAAUUGAGAGAGAAUGAUGAGGGUCUGAGAAAGAACGGUGAGGGAUCGAGGGAGAUGCUUAGGUGAUGAUCGUUGAUGAUUGGUGAUAACUGCUUUGUGAUUGUGUGAGUGGUGAGAGGAGCACAAGAGUGAGAGUGAUUUUAGAGAGUGUUCAAUAAUUGGAGAGUGAAUUCGGAGGAAAGUGAAAGAUGAAGAUUGAAUCAGAGAGCCCGAAAUGUGAGAGUUAUGCUUGAUUUAUAUAGUGAUUAAGAUGGUGGUUAGGGAUUGAAAGAGUUAUCUUCUAUUAGAUUAAUCAAGAGUAAUUUAGUUAUGAAACUCAUAUACUUU